rnacentral:rRNA from 1 species
CCCUUAGCUGUUCUGGGCCGCACGCGUGCUACACUGAGUGGAUCAGCGGGUCAGGUUACGCGAGAGCGUUUCCUAAUCUUCAAAUCCGCUCGUGAUGGGGAUUGACGGUUGCAAUUUUCCGUCAUGAACGAGGAAUACCUUGUAAGCGCGGGUCAUCAUCCCGCGCUGAAUACGUCCCUGCCCUUUGUACACACCGCCCGUCGCUCCUACCGAUUGAGUGGUCCGGUGAGGCUUUGGGAUCUAAGCGAAAAGAGCGUUUCGCUCCUUUUGCUGGGAGAACUCAGUCGAACCUUAUCAUUUAGAGGAAGGAGAAGUCGUAACA